UUUAGGGGUAAGGCAAGAUGUUAAAUAAUGAGUUGUCAAUGGUGGAAAAAGCUAGAAGAUGCAAAGAGGAUUCCAGUUAGAACCACUGCUGAAAGACUGGACAUUGUGAAAUCAAUAGUACAAACCAUCUUGAAAAAGAAAACCUACUGGAGCAAUAAGCAAUUGAUAAAGAGCAGUUCAUCCAAGGAAGACGACAGCAGUUGAUGACAGAAUCUUCACUAGAACUAUGAAGAAAAAAACACUAAAAUAACAGGCAAAGAGGUUGUAGACAAUCUCCAGGAGUCAGGGGUGAAAGUAUCUCAAAUCACCAUGCACUGCGAGAUACAAGUCACAUAUCAGCACUAAAAACUAAAUGACCAGAUUAGAAUUUGCUGGGAAGUGUAACUCUUCUGUAAGGUCUUAAGGACAGACGAAAAGGAAAAACCUGGAUCAAACUGAUGGGAAGUUAAAAAUGUGGAGGAAGUGCAAGUGAGCCUGAGCCCAUGUGUGAAGCAGGAGGGAGGGAGAGUCGUGGCCUGAGCCUCUGGAACUGGCUUACUGGUCUCUGUCGGUGGUGUCCCUGAGGAUGGCAGCAGCAGCAGAAGAAGAAAUCCUGAAAGACACAGGAGCGUCUUGUCUGCCCAGGUCCAAAAGCAGGCCUCCGAACUCACUGGGGAGCAGGACGGUGAUCCAAAACCAUGAAGGUCUGUUCUCAAGUGGAUGCUUUUGCUAAACCACAUGGUCUGCAAACACUGGUGCCCUUUCCUGACAGCACAAGACAAAUCGGAAUGGACAGCUGGCUGACUGGCAUCGACACCUUGAAGAUCAACAGACUCUACGACUGCAAUGGAGAAUCGAAGACGCAGACAUCAACUAUGACAACUACUCCCUCCUGCCUCAGGAGGAGUCCUGUUGUUGGUCCCAUCUUGUUAGGCUGAAUGAGCUCUAUUUCUAGUCAUCUUGUUUCCCAGAAGCCCAGCAUUACUUACCUGCUAGGUAACAAGGUUUUUAAAUCAAUACAGUUCUGCCUCCACUCUAGUUCUUCGUUCAUUUGAACUUUAAGGUUGUGGAAUGACUGUCAGGGUCUCAUCAGAAGGCACAGGGAAGAUUUAUUCCACUAACGACCCUAAUGUGUACCCCAACAACAAAAACUGCCUGUGGCGCAUAGAAGCAAAGUCACCGAAAUCUAGAUCUCAUUAUCCUUUGAGACGAUGGACAUACAAGACUCGGAGGGCUGCACAUCUGACCACAUUUCGAUAUACGAUGUCGCGUUUAAAAGCUUUAUUGGGCCAAAGCUCUGUGGCUCCAGUACACCUACUCCCAUCCAAUCUUUUGGCCCUGUUCUUGUGAUUGAGUUCCAUACCGAUGGGCCUGUCAGCAACAGGGGCUUCAGCAUAUCAUUCAGGUCACUUUGGUGAAGUGAACAAGAAGCAGCAAGCUCCUCUAUGAAGAGGACUCUUACACAGACCACUUUGGUGAAACACUGAAGAAGAAUGUCAAGAUCAAGACUUUCACGUUUUGCAAUAAAAAUUAAAACGAUGCGUA